ACAAGCAGUGGGAGCACGCUUAGGCGUGUGACUGCGUACCUUUUGUAUAAUGGGUCAGCGACUUAUAUUCUGUAGCAAGGUUAACCGAAUAGGGGAGCCGAAGGGAAACCGAGUCUUAACUGGGCGUUAAGUUGCAGGGUAUAGACCCGAAACCCGGUGAUCUAGCCAUGGGCAGGUUGAAGGUUGGGUAACACUAACUGGAGGACCGAACCGACUAAUGUUGAAAAAUUAGCGGAUGACUUGUGGCUGGGGGUGAAAGGCCAAUCAAACCGGGAGAUAGCUGGUUCUCCCCGAAAGCUAUUUAGGUAGCGCCUCGUGAAUUCAUCUCCGGGGGUAGAGCACUGUUUCGGCAAGGGGGUCAUCCCGACUUACCAACCCGAUGCAAACUGCGAAUACCGGAGAAUGUUAUCACGGGAGACACACGGCGGGUGCUAACGUCCGUCGUGAAGAGGGAAACAACCCAGACCGCCAGCUAAGGUCCCAAAGUCAUGGUUAAGUGGGAAACGAUGUGGGAAGGCCCAGACAGCCAGGAUGUUGGCUUAGAAGCAGCCAUCAUUUAAAGAAAGCGUAAUAGCUCACUGGUCGAGUCGGCCUGCGCGGAAGAUGUAACGGGGCUAAACCAUGCACCGAAGCUGCGGCAGCGACGCUUAUGCGUUGUUGGGUAGGGGAGCGUUCUGUAAGCCUGCGAAGGUGUGCUGUGAGGCAUGCUGGAGGUAUCAGAAGUGCGAAUGCUGACAUAAGUAACGAUAAAGCGGGUGAAAAGCCCGCUCGCCGGAAGACCAAGGGUUCCUGUCCAACGUUAAUCGGGGCAGGGUGAGUCGACCCCUAAGGCGAGGCCGAAAGGCGUAGUCGAUGGGAAACAGGUUAAUAUUCCUGUACUUGGUGUUACUGCGAAGGGGGGACGGAGAAGGCUAUGUUGGCCGGGCGACGGUUGUCCCGGUUUAAGCGUGUAGGCUGGUUUUCCAGGCAAAUCCGGAAAAUCAAGGCUGAGGCGUGAUGACGAGGCACUACGGUGCUGAAGCAACAAAUGCCCUGCUUCCAGGAAAAGCCUCUAAGCAUCAGGUAACAUCAAAUCGUACCCCAAACCGACACAGGUGGUCAGGUAGAGAAUACCAAGGCGCUUGAGAGAACUCGGGUGAAGGAACUAGGCAAAAUGGUGCCGUAACUUCGGGAGAAGGCACGCUGAUAUGUAGGUGAAGUCCCUUGCGGAUGGAGCUGAAAUCAGUCGAAGAUACCAGCUGGCUGCAACUGUUUAUUAAAAACACAGCACUGUGCAAACACGAAAGUGGACGUAUACGGUGUGACGCCUGCCCGGUGCCGGAAGGUUAAUUGAUGGGGUCAGCGCAAGCGAAGCUCUUGAUCGAAGCCCCGGUAAACGGCGGCCGUAACUAUAACGGUCCUAAGGUAGCGAAAUUCCUUGUCGGGUAAGUUCCGACCUGCACGAAUGGCGUAAUGAUGGCCAGGCUGUCUCCACCCGAGACUCAGUGAAAUUGAACUCGCUGUGAAGAUGCAGUGUACCCGCGGCAAGACGGAAAGACCCCGUGAACCUUUACUAUAGCUUGACACUGAACAUUGAGCCUUGAUGUGUAGGAUAGGUGGGAGGCUUUGAAGUGUGGACGCCAGUCUGCAUGGAGCCGGCCUUGAAAUACCACCCUUUAAUGUUUGAUGUUCUAACGUGGACCCGUGAUCCGGGUUGCGGACAGUGUCUGGUGGGUAGUUUGACUGGGGCGGUCUCCUCCUAAAGAGUAACGGAGGAGCACGAAGGUUGGCUAAUCCUGGUCGGACAUCAGGAGGUUAGUGCAAUGGCAUAAGCCAGCUUGACUGCGAGCGUGACGGCGCGAGCAGGUGCGAAAGCAGGUCAUAGUGAUCCGGUGGUUCUGAAUGGAAGGGCCAUCGCUCAACGGAUAAAAGGUACUCCGGGGAUAACAGGCUGAUACCGCCCAAGAGUUCAUAUCGACGGCGGUGUUUGGCACCUCGAUGUCGGCUCAUCACAUCCUGGGGCUGAAGUAGGUCCCAAGGGUAUGGCUGUUCGCCAUUUAAAGUGGUACGCGAGCUGGGUUUAGAACGUCGUGAGACAGUUCGGUCCCUAUCUGCCGUGGGCGCUGGAGAACUGAGGGGGGCUGCUCCUAGUACGAGAGGACCGGAGUGGACGCAUCACUGGUGUUCGGGUUGUCAUGCCAAUGGCACUGCCCGGUAGCUAAAUGCGGAAGAGAUAAGUGCUGAAAGCAUCUAAGCACGAAACUUGCCCCGAGAUGAGUUCUCCCUGACCCUUUAAGGGUCCUGAAGGAACGUUGAAGACGACGACGUUGAUAGGCCGGGUGUGUAAGCGCAGCGAUGCGUUGAGCUAACCGGUACUAAUGAACCGUGAGG
rnacentral:rRNA from 1 species